rnacentral:lncRNA from 1 species
UUUAACCAAAGCGCAAACGAUCAUGCGGGACGCAAUUAUUCGUUUCAAUCCCUCUUUUGCCUGGACCGCCCUUUCGGGUUUUCAGUCCACCGGGAUACCCUUUUUUGCCCAAGUCGCCUCUUCAGGUUUUCGACUUGCCGGGUGUACAUUUUUUCUUUUUAUCCCUAAUUUUUGCCCGAACCUUCUUCAUUCUGUAUUUUGGUUCGC